UUCUUAUUAGCUCAAUGGUAGRGCAAAAUACUUCUAAUAUUUUGAUCCAAGUUCGAGUCUUGGAUAAGAUG
rnacentral:tRNA from 1 species